AGCGAACGCUGGCGGCAGGCCUAACACAUGCAAGUCGAACGAACCUUUCGGGGUUAGUGGCGGACGGGUGAGUAACACGUGGGAACGUGCCUUUAGGUUCGGAAUAACUCAGGGAAACUUGUGCUAAUACCGAAUGUGCCCUUCGGGGGAAAGAUUUAUCGCCUUUAGAGCGGCCCGCGUCUGUUUAGCCAGUUGGUUGAGGUAAUGGCUCACCAAGGCGACGAUCCGUAGCUGGUCAGGGAGGAUGAUCAGCCAGGUUGGGACUGAGAUACGCCCCAACCCCCGACGGGAGGCAGCGGUGGGGAUUCUUGCGCAAGGAGAGAAAGCCUGACGCCGCCAUGCGGCGGGAAUAAUAAGGGUCUUAGGAUUGUAAAAUUCUUGCCCGGGGGAGGAGAAGGAGGGGACCCGAAAAAGAGGCCCCGGCUAAUUUGGUC
rnacentral:rRNA from 1 species